rnacentral:rRNA from 1 species
AGUGACGUCAAGUCAGCAUGGCCUUUAUUAUCCUGGGCGUACACACACGCUACAAUGGGAAGGGACAAUAGGUUGCGAAGCCGCGAGGCGGAGCCAAUCCAGCAAAACUUCCCUCAGUUCAGAUUGCAGGCUGCAACUCGCCUGCAUGAAGAUGGAGUUGCUAGUAAACGCAGGUCAGCCAUACUGCGUUGAAUACGUUCCCGGGGCUU